ACUUUCCACAGUUUGAAUAUGUCAUCGUGAAGGGCAAUGUGUGACUCCUGUAAAACAGGUCUGCUUUAUGGUCUGUGGCUGAGCAAGCAGGAAAGCAGAUGACAGAGGCAAAAGGAAACAUGAACUCUGGGGACUCCGAGGUCCAGCUUACUACCAGGAUGUGUAGGUUGUAGACGUUGAUGAUAAAAAGGGUCUACCGGAACCUGACAAAUACAGAGGUGGAUGUGCAGGGAUGUGCGAGGAGUCGGGUGAAGCCCUGGCGGAGGUCUUCUGUCUUGUCAGUUCUUCUUGAGAUAGUGGAGGUGGAAGAGCAUUGGUGGAGGAACUCUUCCUGAAUUCCAUCUUAUGCUCUUUGACUGCUGCAUACACCAUUUUGGAAAAUAUGCAGAAGAUUGUCAAUGCAGGAUGACACGAGGGGCUCUAUUAUCAAUCAAGCAUACUACAGUUUGUGCCACAAGAGGAAAGCAAUUACUAAGUAUAACAGAGUAAAAUAAAGUAACCAUAAAGACUAUAUAAGAAAAGUAAAAGACACCACUCAUCCUGGAAAAUAAAUUUCUCAACAAGCGAAGAAGGCAAGUGGCUUCUCGUGUGUGAAUGGGGAAGGAAAAGGAGAGCAGAGCCAGUAGAAAAAAAUGAAAAAUGGGAUAAACAGACAAUUCAAAAAAAGCACACGAAAAAAAAGCACACAACAAACAAACAAAAAAUAGAGAUGAUUUUGUGACAAAUGUUCAAGUUACUCGUUCGUAGAGAAAUGGAAAUUAAAACCACACAGAGGAAACAUUUCUCACCUGUCACACUGACACACCUUUCUAAAAAUUGCUGUAAGCCCGACCUGCUUGCCAGGCUGUCAGGAAACAGGCACUCUCGACUAUUAUUGAUGGGAUUGCAAAUCUCUCAGCACAUCUGGAGGGAGAUUCCCUAGUACUUAAAGAAACUGAGGCACACAAGAAAUGAACACAGGCACAUAGCCUCUGCAUGCCUUAGUGAUCAAUCCUACUCUUCUGAGAGUCUACUUUGAAGGUACAACACCAGUGGCACAGACUGCAAAUGACCAUGGCAUUUUGUAAUGUGACUUGUCAUAAAAGCCAUCAGAAGCAACUUGUAUUACCAGUGAAGAGAGUGCCUUUGAAGAGCAAUGGUCUCUAAGUGUGUAAGUAUGUGUUGCUGCUACACAAUGAAGAACUGUUUGACUGCUGAAAAAAGGAAAAAACCUUUGUAAGCUGUAAUUAAGUGGUUUUUACUUGAAUGUGUGUUAAACAAAUCAAAUAAAGAUUAAAUUGAUAUUUUUAGCACA